GAUGGCCCAGUGCCUGGAGGACAGUAGCACUUUGUCCUUAAUAGGGAUUUUAGCAAUAAAGCCAGCAUGAAAUUUAUUUUUCAUGCCCUUAGAUUUGAAAAUUUAUGACUUAGAAUGUGUGUACUUCUUAGGUUAACCUGCCCUUCGUCACCUCAUGAAAAGUAAGACAGACUUAGGUGGCUGACUUUGGAGGGUUUUUUUUGUUAUAUUUGCUUUCAUUAUAGAUCAGCAACCGCUGGAAGCUGGCCCAGGUACAAGUACAAAAAGACUCUAAAGAAGCUGUCAAGAAGAAGGCAGCUGAGCAAACAGCUGCCCGGGAACAGGCAAAGGAGGCGUGCAAAGCUGCAGCAGAACAGGCCAUCUCCGUCCGACAGCAGGUCGUGCUAGAAAAUGCUGCAAAGAAGAGAGAGCGAGCAACAAGCGACCCAAGGACCACAGAACAGAAACAAGAGAAGAAACGACUCAAAAUUUCCAAGAAGCCAAAGGACCCAGAGCCACCAGAAAAAGAGUUUACGCCUUACGACUACAGCCAGUCAGACUUCAAGGCUUUUGCUGGAAACAGCAAAUCCAAAGUUUCUUCUCAGUUUGAUCCAAAUAAACAGACCCCG
rnacentral:lncRNA from 1 species